UUGAAUUUGGCGCUCAAAUGUUUUUCGAAACGUUGCCGUUAGAUGGCGAGCAUUUUUUUUUCAAAGGGUUUUUGCAAAUUUCGGUACGAAGGGCUUUAAUUCUAUCAAGCAGACGUGUUUAUGGAUUUAUUUGAAAUCUUAUGUAUUGUUUCCUCCAUUCGGGCGUUAUGUGUGCACUGAGAUGUUCGGCGAACUUCAUUUUUCAAUGGGCGAGGGCGAACACUUUCAAUUUCACUUAUUUUAUUGGAAUUCAUCAAAUUAGUUACGUUAAGUACAUGGCGCACUUGUGUCUGUGACUGGAUUGUAAUCUCGCCGAUUAUUAACUAUAGAUGUUACGCAUAUCUUUUUCUCAAUCAAACUAAUAAACUAAUCCUCAAAGGGUACUUAAGUGAACAGGUAUCUUAUUGAUAUAAUUUUACGUGUAUUUAAUAAAGAAAAACAUAGGUUAUGUAUGUGGAAUUUUCAUUGUAUUUGUUCUUUAUUUGUCAUUGAUAAUGAAUUACAUUUAACUUUUGUGGUUAA